rnacentral:rRNA from 1 species
GUCCACACGGUAAACGAUGAAUACUCGCUGUGUGCGAUAUACGGCAAGCGGCCAAGCGAAAGCGUUAAGUAUUCCACCUGGGGAGUACGCCGGCAACGGUGAAACUCAAAGGAAUUGACGGGGGCCCGCACAAGCGGAGGAACAUGUGGUUUAAUUCGAUGAUACGCGAGGAACCUUACCCGGGCUUAAAUUGCACUCGAAUGAUCCGGAAACGGUUCAGCUAGCAAUAGCGAGUGUGAAGGUGCUGCAUGGUUGUCGUCAGCUCGUGCCGUGAGGUGUCGGCUUAAGUGCCAUAACGAGCGCAACCCUUGUUGUCAGUUACUAACAGGUGAUGCUGAGGACUCUGACAAGACUGCCAUCGUAAGAUGUGAGGAAGGUGGGGAUGACGUCAAAUCAGCACGGCCCUUACGUCCGGGGCUACACACGUGUUACAAUGGGGGGUACAGAGGGCCGCUACCACGCGAGUGGAUGCCAAUCCCUAAAACCCCUCUCAGUUCGGACUGGAGUCUGCAACCCGACUCCACGAAGCUGGAUUCGCUAGUAAUCGCGCAUCAGCCACGGCGCGGUGAAUACGUUCCCGGGCCUUGUACACACCGCCCGUCAAGCCAUGGGAGCCGGGGGUACCUAAAGUGCGUAACCGCGAGGAUCGCCCUAGGG